AGGGUGAUGGACUGCCUUUUGCAUAAUGAUCCUGCGAGUUGUGGUAUCUGGCAAGGUUAAGCAAACGCGAAGCCGUAGCGAAAGCGACUUUUAACGAGGGUUAAGUCAGAUGCUGCAGACCCGAAGCCAAGUGAUCUAUCCAUGACCAAGUUGAAGUAAGUGUAAUAGCUUAUGGAGGACUGAACUCGUACCCAUUGAAACGGGUUGGGAUGAGUUGUGGAUAGGGGUGAAAGGCCAAACAAACUUGGUGAUAGCUGGUUCUCUUCGAAAUAUAUUUAGGUAUAGCCUCAAGUGAUAGUAAUAGGGGGUAGAGCUCUGAUUGGGCUAGGGCUACUCACCGUGGUACCAACCCCUGUCAAACUGCGAAUACCUAUUACCGUAUCUUGGGAGUCAGGCGGUGGGUGAUAAAAUCAAUCGUCAAAAGGGGAACAACCCAGACUACCAACUAAGGUCCCAAAGUUCUAUUCUAAGUGGAAAAUGAUGUGAAGUUACUUAGACAACCAGGAGGUUGGCUUAGAAGCAGCCAUCCUUUAAAGAAAGCGUAACAGCUCACUGGUCUAGUGAUUUUGCGCAGAAAAUAUAACGGGGCUAAGAUAGACACCGAAGUUGUAGAUUAUGCUGAUGCAUAGUGGUAGAAGAGCGUUCGUAUUGCAUUGAAGGUAUAUCGGUAAGAAGUGCUGGAGCGAUGCGAAGUGAGCAUGCAGGAAUGAGUAGCGAUAAAAGUGGUGAGAAUCCACUUCGCCGAAAGUCUAAGGUUUCCUACGCGAUGCUCGUCAUCGUAGGGUUAGUCGGGUCCUAAGACAAGUCAGAAAUGGGUAGUCGAUGGAAAAUGGGUUAAUAUUCCCAUACCAACAUAAGUGUGCGAUGGGGGGACGCAUAAGGCUAAAUGGCGUUAGCUGAUGGAAUAGCUAAUUUAAAAGUGUAGAUUGAAGGAGUGGCAAAUCCGCCUUUGUAUUUGAAACUUGAAUAGCUUGUUGCGACCUUCGGGUCAAGAUAAGUGCCAUUGAUGCCAUCGUGCCAAGAAAAGCCUCUAAGUUUAACUUAUGUUGCCCGUACCGCAAACCGACACAGGUAGAUAGGAUGAGUAUUCUAAGGCGCGUGAAAGAACUCUCUUUAAGGAACUCUGCAAACUAGCACCGUAAGUUCGCGAUAAGGUGUGCCACAGAAAUGUGGUCUCAGCAAAGAGUCCCUCCCGACUGUUUACCAAAAACACAGCACUUUGCAAACUCGUAAGAGGAAGUAUAAGGUGUGACGCCUGCCCGGUGCUCGAAGGUUAAGAGGAUUAGUUAGACGCAAGUUAAAGCUUUGAAUUGAAGCCCGAGUAAACGGCGGCCGUAACUAUAACGGUCCUAAGGUAGCGAAAUUCCUUGUCGGUUAAAUACCGACCUGCAUGAAUGGCGUAACGAGAUGGGAGCUGUCUCAAAGAGUGAUUCAGUGAAAUUGUAGUGGAGGUGAAAAUUCCUCCUACCCGCGGCAAGACGGAGAGACCCCGUGGACCUUUACUACAGCUUGGCACUGCCGAUGGGAGCAUUAUGCGCAGGAUAGGUGGGAGGCUUUGAAAUCUUUACUCCGGUGGAGAUGGAGCCAUCGUUGAGAUACCACCCUUAAUGCUUCUAUUUGCUAACUAGCUUAUGUCAUCCAUAAGUAGGACAAUGCCUGGUGGGUAGUUUGACUGGGGCGGUCGCCUCCUAAAAAGUAACGGAGGCUUGCAAAGGUUGGCUCAUUGCGGUUGGAAAUCGCAAGCAGAGUGUAAUGGCAUAAGCCAGCUUAACUGUAAGACAAACAAGUCGAGCAGAGACGAAAGUCGGUCAUAGUGAUCCGGUGAUUCUGUGUGGAAGGGUCAUCGCUCAAAGGAUAAAAGGUACCCCGGGGAUAACAGGCUGAUCUCCCCCAAGAGCUCACAUCGACGGGGAGGUUUGGCACCUCGAUGUCGGCUCAUCGCAUCCUGGGGCUGGAGCAGGUCCCAAGGGUAUGGCUGUUCGCCAUUUAAAGCGGUACGCGAGCUGGGUUCAGAACGUCGUGAGACAGUUCGGUCCCUAUCUGCCGUGGGCGUAGGAGAGUUGAGGAGAGCUGUCCCUAGUACGAGAGGACCGGGAUGGACAUGCCACUGGUGUAUCUGUUGUUCUGCCAAGAGCAUCGCAGAGUAGCUACGCAUGGUAGUGAUAACCGCUGAAAGCAUCUAAGCGGGAAGCCAACUCCAAGAUUAACUCUCCCUAAGGUCGCAGCAAGACUAGCUGCUUGAUAGGGUAGAUGUGUAAGCAUAGUAAUAUGUUUAGCUGACUACUACUAAUAGACCUUGUGGCUUUUUGAUUU
rnacentral:rRNA from 1 species